UUACUUUUUUGAAAGACAGAGAGACAGAGAGAGGAGGAGGGCAGUAGGCAAGUCUGGACGAGGCUGAAGCCGAAGAGCCAGGAACUCCACCUCAGGCUCCUGCGUGGGUGGCAGGGACCCACGUACUUGGGCCGGCAUUGACUGCCUUCCCAGGUGCCCAGUACAUCACUGGUGAAUGAAUGCAUGAACAUCUGCCUAUCCACAAGCAGGGAGUGGCCUUGAGGUCCAGAAAGGAAGCUGACCUGGGCCAAGCUUCUGCGGUGACGGGUGACACGGAGAAUUUCAGGACCAGAAGCCACACAGGUGCCCCAGGACGGAUGGAGACAGAGUAUUUGUGCGUCCACCCCAUGCUGGCAUCCCUGCUGCCUGCCUCAUCCACCCACAAGCAGCCAGAGAGAGCAGUGCCAAGGAGAGCCACCUCGUAGCAUGCAGCGCCUACCACUGCCUGGCUGAUCACGUUGCACCACGCUGCCACGGACCGUACCUGUCUCUCUCCACCCCUGGGCCUCGAGCGUGGGGACCGCACUGCUGACCGCCACACCUUGCCUGGUGUAUUGGAGACACUCGCCACACAACAAGUUGUCAGAGGAAGGAGUGACCAAAUGACGGCUUUCGGGAGAACAGGUUAACAGAAUCAGAGACCAAACAGAACCUGAAGUCCCGCUGGGAGAAUCUUCUGGAACCAGCUCAUACCAAUCUCUCUUCUAGUGCUUCUAUUCCCAUUCCUAGCACGGGGCGCCAUAAAAACCUGUAAAUAU